rnacentral:rRNA from 1 species
GACGAACGCUGGCGGCGUGCCUAAUACAUGCAAGUAGAACGCACAGUUUAUACCGUAGCUUGCUACACCAUACACUGUGAGUUGCGAACGGGUGAGUAACGCGUAGGUAACCUGCCUGGUAGCGGGGGAUAACUAUUGGAAACGAUAGCUAAUACCGCAUAAUAUUGAUUAUUGCAUGAUAAUUGAUUGAAAGAUGCUAUUGCAUCCCUACCAGAUGGACCUGCGUUGUAUUAGCUAGUAGGUGAGGUAACGGCUCACCUAGGCGACGAUACAUAGCCGACCUGAGAGGGUGAUCUGACACACUGGGACUGAGACACGGCCCAGACUCCUACGGGAGGCAGCAGUAGGGAAUCUUCGGCAAUGGACGAAAGUCUGACCGAGCAACGCCGCGUGAGUGAAGAAGGUUUUCGGAUCGUAAAGCUCUGUUGUAAGAGAAGAACGGGUGUGAGAGUGGAAAGUUCACACUGUGACGGUAGCUUACCAGAAAGGGACGGCUAACUACGUG